rnacentral:tRNA from 1 species
GGUCCGUUGGUGAAGCGGUUAACACACCAGAUUCUCAAUCUGGCAUCCACGGGUUCAAGCCCCGUACGGACUACCA